UUAAUUUAAGGACUAUAUUUUUUCAACUCUACUGAUAAUUUCACAUCAGCUGCACAGAGACAAAAGGCAAAGAGACUAAAUCAUUGAUCUGUCAGUUUGAUCACAGAAAAUGAUUUAUUCUACUUUUCCUGCUGUCAAAAAUAAAUAAAUAAAUAUUUGGUGGUUUAUUUUAUGUUGUUGGGGCAUCCUAAGGUGGAUAUUGUAGAUUAAAUAUGUCUCACAUCAACAAGAUUACAAGAUAAACUUAGUCAAGGAUCAGAGUAAGUUUUUAUAAUAAAAACAAAAACUUUAUUCAGUCACUAAUAUAGCAAACUAUAAACAGGAAGUCAGCUGAGCGUGUCAGUGCUCUCUGGGCUGUGGUUCAUUCUUGUUCCUGUGUUCAGCUGCAGAAAUGAAUGACUCAAAUGAAACACCAAACUGCUCAUGUCUGAAUAUAUCUGGCUAAUUUCUGGGAGAAUGGAGCUUUCCAUUCCUUUAUGCACCCAAUCCUCUUACCCUCCGUCCUAAUCCUGGAGCUGCACAGAAAAACACACGGAACUCCCCUUUAAAGCUCUAUUUCCUGUGUGUGUUUAAAUCCAAACAGCACUAAUGACUGUUUGUUAUUGUGUGUCUGCACUUUGUAAAAUUCCUGCACUCUGGAUGAUGGAGGAUUAACGUCCAAACGGCACAUGAGCCUCUGCGGUAUUGUCUAUUUCACGUGAGCGAUAACCCUCCACCAUCAUCAUCAUCAUUAUCUUUCCCUCCCCAUCCUCCUGGCAGCUGAGGAAGAAGAGGAAGAGAAUCAGAAAGCACCUCGAAAUCAUCCAGCUGCAAUGAAGGAUGUCAACCUCAAGAAUAGCCAAAUUUUUAUGGUGGACAAAAUCUUGCUUCUUGUUCGUUUUUCUUCAGUUUUUUCAGUGUGUCGAGGUUGUAAACACAUUGACAGGGAUAAACCUAAAAAAAAUCUUUCAGAAACCAACAAACCUCUCAGAUGCUUCAUGUUCAGAUCGGGCGAAGAAGAGUCAGAAGUCUGUGUGGACACCAGCAGCAGCCCUCACGUCUACUCCAACGUCCAAACAUCUCACUCAGUACUGAACCUGAAGUGAACUGCAGACCCAGCAGCUCUGUGAGCUCCCACUGGCUCUGUUAAGACCCUGUGAGGACUUCCAGCUCCGCGAGGACCCUGUGAGGACUGGGUCUGGGUGCAGCUCAGCAGAUAAGAAAGGAGUUGACUUUAUGCAACUGAGCAAGUUCAUGUGACAAGCAUGUGAGGCAGCAGGGCUCUUUGUUCGACCCAGUCUCAUGACUCCAGGCCGAGGUAAUCCUUCUGGGAGUCUCAUGACCCAUCGAGCUUCAACACAAGAGCAUUUUCAUGAGCUGCUGGAACCAGACUCAAUAAAUCUGCUUUUAAAAAUCCCCCAAAAA